CUGAAGAGUCCAAAAUAUUUAUGACCUGACCCUGUACAGAAAAAUGUGCUGACCUAUGGUAUAGAACCUUUCUUGAUCCAUAUCCAGUGGUGUCCCAGGAAGAGAAAUCUGAAGUCUGGCAGACACUGAAAAGAGAAUAUCUCAUUGGAUGGUGUGCUAGUUAACUUGGCGUUGCUGUGACCAAAAUAAAAGAAGAAUAACAGAAGAGGGAGCAUUUAUUUGUGUCUCAAGUUUUCAGAGGUCUCAAUCCAGUAACAGUGGAAUCCAUUGCUUUGGGCACAAGGAUGCUUCUACCUGAGGAGCUUUCCUCAGCCGUGCCCUUCUGCCAUGAUGUUCGGCCUCAUCUUGAGUCUAGAGCAAUGGAGUCAGCCACCCAUAGACUGAACCUCUGAAACCACGAGCCAAAAUAAACUUUUCAUCCUGAUUUGUCCUUA